GGGGGCGCACAGGUUUCGACGUGCGGCGUAAGGCCUCGAGGAGCAUGCGGAGGGCGCCCUCUCCCGCCUUAAAAAAGAGGGCAAGGUCAUAGAUGCCAAAAAAUCUAACGUGAUCGCUUUCCGUCCGGCCGCAAUGCCGGCAAUGGCGAUGGCUGCCUAACUCAAUAACCUCCGUUGGUUCGGAGGCUGAGCUUCAGCCCCAUCCUUCCGUUCCGCCAGUUUCCUUGCGUGCGGUCUGGGUGGCUAAACCCUUCUUGGAAACUCGGUAGCGGCCCGGUUGCGGCCAACACUUAAAUCUUUUAGCAACCGACCUUUUGAGCUGGCGGGUUUCUGGGCUGGCGCUUAAGGUAUUUUCCAGAAAAUAAGCAUGUAGAGCCUCAGCUGAACAAAGUGCGGACGCGGGUUCGAUUCCCGCCGCCUCCACCA
rnacentral:tmRNA from 1 species